ensembl:snoRNA SNORD56 small nucleolar RNA, C/D box 56
UUGCGAUGAUGUCUAUAUUUUUCGUCAACAGCAUGUCACCCCUCGGGAGUUCAUGUUGAAAAUUUUAAACUGAGCAA